GCGGGUGUGGUUUAGUGGUAGAAUACGACCCUUCCAAGGUUGGGGCGAGAGUUCGAUUCUCUCCACCCGCA
rnacentral:tRNA from 1 species